CCCAAACCCUCAACUUAAAAGGCAUAAACUCUUCCAAAAGCUCCAAGCUUUUUAAACAUCAAAGGACUCUAUCUAUACUAUACUUUCUAAGGUAGACCAUAAAAUAGGGGUUAAAAGGGACAAGUUUCCAAGUUAUUUACAUGAUCACAAAUCAGCUCCCCACAAACUCUCUUUUAAAAGCCCAAAAAGGCCCUUAUUUUCUGAGUAAAAUUCUGAGUUGGGGGCAAGAAUUCCUCCAAAUUCUCUACUCCUAUUUGUUUAAAUGCUUCUACAAGUGUCUUCAUGUACCCUUUCACAUCAUUCCGAAACCCCCGUGAACCCGUUUGCUCACCCAUGUCAACACCACACCCGACUCUCACACCUUUCGUAUAUGCAUUACAACUUGUCAGAAUACCUCGUGCACGAUCACAAAAAUGCCCAAUCACCAAAUCCUCAAAAUGCUGCAUCCAAAAACAUCAAAUUAGCAAAAAGAAGCAUCCGGAACAUGCUAUACACAAUGCCAGUUGCAUACCUUGGGUGGUUUCCUCAUAGUGUAAACCAUAGUUUUGAGUGACAGAACCAGAGUGCGCUCAUUGUAUUGCAGUGAUUUAUUUUCUCCACUAGCAGAUCCGCUUGUUCGUUCAUAUCCAGGUUCAUUGAAAUAUGGUUUCGCGUUCAAAAUCAGACCCUGUAUAGAGAGCAAAACUUGGAACAUAGUUGAGACGCCAGGUGUCCAUUUCUCAUUCUUCGAACCAACCCAAGUGUUUAGAAGGCUCAAGCAAACUUUGCCAUUGUGAUAAAGAUUUGGAUUAAUUCUUAGGCCACCAGAGUGAUAGUGCACUUGCUGAGAAGAAUUGUAUAAUAUUAAUAGCCUUUAGAUCUUUAAAUAAAACCAUAGGAUAAACUGAUAAAGUGAAAAGAGUAAAAUGGCAUUUUCGUCCCUAAGGUUUGAAAACGAAAAACUCAAAGUGUUAAUAAUUGAAAAACCGUCAUGGUGGAUGUAACAGUGUUAUACAUCUAAAAUGCAGCAACGAAAAAUCAAGAUUUAUACCUUUCCCUUUUUAUCUGACUUGACCUGUUCUGAAGACUGGACCGCAUCUAUAGUUCCUGAAGAUAUCAUUACCAAAGCAUCCUAGGAAUACACCCUAAGGUUAAAAUCAAGAAUGAUUUGGGAUGGGCUCGGUACCUAAAAUACCGGUCCCUAAGGGUGUAGGGAGUGGUUAAACACUUUGGAGUGGCAAACCAAAAAACCGACCAAUCAGAGCGCGCCAUGUCAAUCAGUCAAAAGUGUUUAAACUUUGGUGAAAAGUGUUGGCAAUGGUUUAGACACUUGGUGAAGUGGUAAACUAUUUAAAAAAAAAAGUGUGAUUGGUUGAGAUAGGAAUGGACCCCACCCACAAUACCCUCUCUCUCUCAAUCAUCUUCUUCCCGAAUCGGUAACCUGUCACCGAUUGCUUUGCUUUGCCGCCUCGCCAAAUAGUCGGCGCCGGUGUUUGCCGAUCGGCAAACUUGUUUGCCGCCCCUUGCCGCAUGCCACACCGUACACCCUAAAAACCGCAAUAAUGGGUACCGAAAAUAACCGGUACGGUACCAGUAUUUGAAGGUAAAUCAACUAAAAUACCGUUACCGGUCCCGAAAAAAAAAAAUAGGUACUGGUACCAAAUGCUCAUCCCUGAAUGAUACAGCCACAACAACCAUACCCAGUAAAUCCCACAAGUAGCAAAGCUACUAGUAGGGUCUGUGGAGAGUGGGAUGUAGGCAAACCUUACCUCCAUCCCUAGAGAUAGAGGGGCUGCUUCUAGAGAGACCCUCGACUCCAAACACACAACAGCUUCUAGAGAGACCCUCGACUCCAAACACACAACAGACAAACAAACAAAUAGAACCAGAUGUAUUGAAAAAGAAAGCUACAACAAUUAGUUAGUUAACUUGUGAAAACUCUAUUGAAAUAUUUGGUAGGCGAAAUUGGUUUCCC
rnacentral:lncRNA from 1 species